rnacentral:miRNA from 1 species
CAGCAGACACAUUCCAGCCAAUCAGCAGCAGACCCUCCCUCCCAGACCCUCCCACCUCCUGGACAGCAUACAUUUUACAUCCAUUGUGAAGCUGCAUUCUUAGUGAGCUGUCCAGGAGGUGGGAGGGUCUGGGAGGGAAGGUCUGCUGCUGAUUGGCUGGAAUGUGUCUGCUG